GACGAACGCUGGCGGCGUGCUUAACACAUGCAAGUCGAACGGAAAGGCCCUGCUUUUGUGGGGUGCUCGAGUGGCGAACGGGUGAGUAACACGUGAGUAACCUGCCCUUGACUUUGGGAUAACUUCAGGAAACUGGGGCUAAUACCGGAUAGGAGCUCCUGCUGCAUGGUGGGGGUUGGAAAGUUUCGGCGGUUGGGGAUGGACUCGCGGCUUAUCAGCUUGUUGGUGGGGUAGUGGCUUACCAAGGCUUUGACGGGUAGCCGGCCUGAGAGGGUGACCGGCCACAUUGGGACUGAGAUACGGCCCAGACUCCUACGGGAGGCAGCAGUGGGGAAUAUUGCACAAUGGGCGGAAGCAUGAUGCAGCAACGCCGCGUGCGGGAUGACGGCAUUCGGGUUGUAAACCGCUUUCGCCUGUGACGAAGCGUGAGUGACGGUAAUGGGUAAAGAAGCACCGGCUAACUACGUG
rnacentral:rRNA from 1 species